AAGAAGUCUAGGGCUGUCAUAUUAGUUCUUGGCUGGUUAUAUUAAUUGUGCUCCCAAUUAGCUAAAGGAAUUCACGUCCAUUAACCCAAAUCUUAAAAUAAGUCGCACAUUCCUGUAACUAAUGGGAUGGUAAGUAGUCAGUGGAUGUUUUGUUUCGUAUUUUUUUUCUCUUUUUAAAGUUAAUUUGGCUUCUAAGAUGGCAGUAUUUUUUUUUUUUUUU
rnacentral:misc_RNA from 1 species